AACUCUCAGUGUGAGCUAGAGGGUCUAAAGCGGAGUAUGCAGUUCUUGAUGGACCAAGACAUGCAAGUGGCAGGUGGCCAAGUGGGUACGUGAGAAAAUGUGUUCAGAAGGAACAAGGCAUUUCUUUGACGUCUGGCAUAUUGGGAAAAGUGUACAGAAAGCACUGGAUGCUGCUGCAAAAGAGAGGGACUGUGAGGAUCUGAAGCUGUGGAGGCCAGCCAUCAUCAACCAUCUCUACUGGACCGCAGCUUCCACCCCUACAGGAGAUCCAGAUGAGAUGCAGGCAAAAUGUACAGGACAUACAUGAACACAGCACUCCUGCAUUUGCCAGCUGCGCACAUCCACCGUUGGAAGGAGAGGCAAGAAACAAGGAGUGGCUGGAACCAGGAUCACCAGCACCCACUAAACUGGAGAGUGUAGCUGCCAGGAAAGCACUGGUAAAGGAUAUUCGACAAUUGUCACCUCAGCAUCAGGCAUUCUCCCUGGAGGCCUACCAUUCCCUCAUUCUGCACUUUGCUCCCAAACAUACUGGCUUUUCUUUUACAGCAGACUUCUCUUGGCAGCCCUACAUUUCAAUAGUAAUGGCAACAGAGAUGUAGCGCGAACUAGUGAGGGUGAGGGACGCUACGCUGUUCGCUACCCACGGUUUCGGAAAGGUGGCUGGGUAGUCCACCCCAUCAAGGAGAAACCAUCUUACGUAUACGCAACAAUUCUUAUGGUCUCUCUGGUAGAGGAAUACUGCAAGACACCGCAGGCCCUCUGCUGCACCGCCCCCCUCACCUCUUCCGUCCAGAAGGUUGCCAAGGAUGAGGCAGUCAGCCUCCAUCUCGCACGACACUCACGUUUUAACAUGUAAUAAAAUAUCAAUUUUACCAGUAGUUUGUUUCACUAUGGAUUUAUUAAUCGUCUUCCAAGCGGGGCCACUGAAAACCUUUGUAUGUCUGUCCCUCCUCUGCAAACUGCAACUUUAUUGCUGACACAACACAUGAAGGUAUGGCUUUCCUAAUGUUCCUGCCUAGUAUUCCGUAUGCCCAGCGGACAACCUGCCUGUAUGCUGUGUAUCGGAACUGCCUGUGGUGUAGAUUGGGACAUAUAUACAUUUUGAUCAUACCAUGUUUUCAUAGUAAACAAUUCCAAUGGUAAAU